UACGGGGGGAGCAAGCGUUGUUCGGAUUUACUGGGCGUAAAGGGCGCGUAGGCGGUCGUGACAAGUCACUUGUGAAAUCUCCGGGCUUAACUCGGAACGGUCAAGUGAUACUGUCGGACUAGAGUACAGAAGGGCAACUGGAAUUCCUGGUGUAGCGGUGGAAUGCGCAGAUAUCAGGAGGAACACCAAUUGCGAAGGCAGCUCGCUGGGACGUAACUGACGCUGAGACGCGAAAGCGUGGGGAGCAAACAGG
rnacentral:rRNA from 1 species